rnacentral:rRNA from 1 species
CAGUAGCCACGGUAAAACGAAGGGGGCUAGCGUUGUUCGGAUUUACUGGGCGUAAAGCGCACGUAGGCGGACUUUUAAGUCAGGGGUGAAAUCCCGGGGCUCAACCCCGGAACUGCCUUUGAUACUGGAAGUCUUGAGUAUGGUAGAGGUGAGUGGAAUUCCGAGUGUAGAGGUGAAAUUCGUAGAUAUUCGGAGGAACACCAGUGGCGAAGGCGGCUCACUGGACCAUUACUGACGCUGAGGUGCGAAAGCGUGGGGAGCAAACAGGAUUAGAUACCCCGGUAGUCCCUGUCUCUUAUAC